rnacentral:rRNA from 1 species
UACGUAGGGGGCAAGCGUUGUCCGGAUUUAUUGGGCGUAAAGGGCGCGUAGGCGGCGCCACAAGUCACUUGUGAAAACUCUGGGCUCAACUCAGAGCCUGCAAGCGAAACUGUGGUGCUGGAGUAUGGGAGAGGUGCGUGGAAUUCCCGGUGUAGCGGUGAAAUGCGUAGAUAGUCGGGAGGAACACCUGUGGCGAAAGCGGCGCACUGGACCAUAACUGACGCUGGAGGCGCGAAAGCCUAGGGGAGCAAACAGG